rnacentral:rRNA from 1 species
GACGAACGCUGGCGGCGUGCUUAACACAUGCAAGUCGAACGGAAAGGCCCUGCUUUUGUGGGGUGCUCGAGUGGCGAACGGGUGAGUAACACGUGAGUAACCUGCCCUUGACUUUGGGAUAACUUCAGGAAACUGGGGCUAAUACCGGAUAGGAGCUCCUGCUGCAUGGUGGGGGUUGGAAAGUUUCGGCGGUUGGGGAUGGACUCGCGGCUUAUCAGCUUGUUGGUGGGGUAGUGGCUUACCAAGGCUUUGACGGGUAGCCGGCCUGAGAGGGUGACCGGCAACAGUGGGACUGAGAUAAGGCGGGGAGUACGCCGGGAGGGAGCAGGGGGGAAGGGGGCAGACGGGGUGGGAGUCUGAUGCCGCAAUGCCGGGGGAGGGAGGGAGGCUGUCGGGUUGGAAAAAGAAGGCGCCGGUGAAGAAGCGGGAGGGACGGGAAUGAGUAAAGAAGCAAGGGCUAACCACGCG